AUUGAACGCUGGCGGCAGGCCUAACACAUGCAAGUCGAGCGGAUGAAGGGAGCUUGCUCCUGGAUUCAGCGGCGGACGGGUGAGUAAUGCCUAGGAAUGUGCCUGGGAGUGGGGGAUAACGUCCGGAAACGGGCGCUAAUACCGCAUACGUCCUGAGGGAGAAAGGGGGGGAUCUUCGGACCGCACGCUAUCAGAUGAGCCUAGGUCGGAUUAGCUAGUUGGUGGGGUAAAGGCCUACCAAGGCGACGAUCCGUAACUGGUCUGAGAGGAUGAGCCGGCACACUGGAACUGAGACACGGUCCAGACUCCUACGGGAGGCAGCAGUGGGGAAUAUUGGACAAUGGGCGAAAGCCUGAUCCAGCCAUGCCGCGUGUGUGAAGAAGGUCUUCGGAUUGUAAAGCACUUUAAGUUGGGAGGAAGGGCAGUAAGUUAAUACCUUGCUGUUUUGACGUUACCAACAGAAUAAGCACCGGCUAACUUCGUG
rnacentral:rRNA from 1 species